AGUGUCCCAAGGAUCUUCAAUUCAGUUUUCAAUCCAUGCCAUCAUUCCAACACCAUCAGGUUGCACUCUCAGUUGAACUCUCACUCAUUCCAACAAUGCCGUCGCCUCUACCAAAAGAAACGAUAACUUCCACUCUCCAUUGAUUGGCAAGAACGCAAGCAAGGUGACUCAUCACCGUCUGAUCACGAUAUCACCAGGUGACGGCAGAUAUCAUGGGGAUUGGACAAGCAACUACGAUGUAUCAUUGCAAGACCUACAGUUACAGGAUUUGAUUGAUGAUAAUGAGCAACACAAGGAUGCAUAACUAUUCAUCAAACUCAACAUUCAAAAGGUGGUUCCAGAGUAUUUCAUUUUGAUGUUUGAGUAGCAACUUAGAUUCAAAUUUGUUACUGACAUGGUAUUGAAAUAUGUUUACUUGUGUGUUCAUACAUUGACCUAGAAUUCAUGCUCCAAAAUUUUCAAAUUUAGUCUGAUUAGUCACUUGUCAAUGCUUGUGCAUGGUAAUGCCAGCAUGCAAGCUUUGGCUUAUUAGUGGAUGGAGAGUUAUGACAUCAUUCAUUAGAAAGUGUGGCAUCUGUAUGUUCACAAUGUGGCAUUCUCUUUCUUUUUUCUUUUUUUUUCCACUCAGAUUAUUAUGCAUGGAUCAUUGUUGGUUGUUAUAUUUUUUUUGCAGUAUUUUUGAUAUUAUGAAUUUGAUCUCUACCCUCUUCUCUUUCCCAUUUAGUAUUUGAGAGAGUUAUAUUAGAGUUUAGAGAUGUAGGCCUGCUACAUAUACAAGCAUUUUUGGCUUACAAGUUAUACAAGUUGGCCCAAGUCCAAGAAAAAAACACGUGCACUACUCCUUUAAAUUGAGCGUCCAACGCACGCGCCUUACAACACGUUCAUUAUGCUGCACUUUUCCUCUUCUUCUUCAAUCAAAACGCAAACCGUCAAGAUUCAAGCGACAUUCGAAACAAACUAUGAUUCUG